rnacentral:rRNA from 1 species
UACGUAGGGGCCUAGCGUUGUCCGGAUUUAUUGGGCGUAAAGAGCGUGUAGGUGGCUCGGUAAGUCCGCUGUGAAAGUCCAGGGCUCAACCCUGGAAAGCCGGUGGAAACUGUCGAGCUCGAGUCCGGAAGAGGCGAGUGGAAUUCCUGGUGUAGCGGUGAAAUGCGCAGAUAUCAGGAGGAACACCAAUGGCGAAGGCAGCUCGCUGGGACGGUACUGACACUGAGACGCGAAAGCGUGGGGAGCAAACAGG